UGCGCGCGGCAGCUACCAUGCAGUCGAGCGGAAACGAAGAGGUGCUUGCACCUCUGGCGUCGAGCGGCGGACGGGUGAGUAAUGCUUGGGAAUAUGCCUUAUGGUGGGGGACAACAGUUGGAAACGACUGCUAAUACCGCAUGAUGUCUACGGACCAAAGUGGGGGACCUUCGGGCCUCACGCCAUAAGAUUAGCCCAAGUGGGAUUAGCUAGUUGGUGAGGUAAUGGCUCACCAAGGCGACGAUCCCUAGCUGGUUUGAGAGGAUGAUCAGCCACACUGGGACUGAGACACGGCCCAGACUCCUACGGGAGGCAGCAGUGGGGAAUAUUGCACAAUGGGCGCAAGCCUGAUGCAGCCAUGCCGCGUGUGUGAAGAAGGCCUUCGGGUUGUAAAGCACUUUCAGUAAGGAGGAAAGGUUAAGUGUUAAUAGCACUUAGCUGUGACGUUACUUACAGAAGAAGCACCGGCUAACUCCGUGCCAGCAGCCGCGGUAAUACGGAGGGUGCGAGCGUUAAUCGGAAUUACUGGGCGUAAAGCGUACGCAGGCGGUUUGUUAAGCGAGAUGUGAAAGCCCCGGGCUCAACCUGGGAACUGCAUUUCGAACUGGCAAACUAGAGUGUGAUAGAGGGUGGUAGAAUUUCAGGUGUAGCGGUGAAAUGCGUAGAGAUCUGAAGGAAUACCGAUGGCGAAGGCAGCCACCUGGGUCAACACUGACGCUCAUGUACGAAAGCGUGGGGAGCAAACAGGAUUAGAUACCCGGGGUAGUCC
rnacentral:rRNA from 1 species